AUUGAACGCUGGCGGCAGGCCUAACACAUGCAAGUCGAACGAGUGGCGGACGGGUGAGUAAUGUCUGGGAAACUGCCCGAUGGAGGGGGAUAACUACUGGAAACGGUAGCUAAUACCGCAUACCAUCGGAUGUGCCCAGAUGGGAUUAGCUAGUAGGUGGGGUAACGGCUCACCUAGGCGACGAUCCCUAGCUGGUCUGAGAGGAUGACCAGCCACACCUGAACGGAGACACGGGCCAGACUCCUACGAGAGGCAGGAGGGGGGAAUAGUGCAAAAUGGGCGCAAGCCUGAUGCAGCCAGGCCGCGUGGAUUAAGAAGGCCUUCGGGUUGUAAAGGACUUUCAGCCGGGAGGCGUUACUCGCAGAAGAAGCACCGGCUAACUCCGUUCCCGCAGCCGCGGUAAUAC
rnacentral:rRNA from 1 species